ACGUAUUAAAAGUACCAAGUGGUGAUUGCAAGAUUCUAUUAGGGCAUGGAAGUAAAGUUAAUUGCGCUUCACUGAUGGCUGAUGGAACUCGUAUAGCGGCUGGAUAUGAUGACGGCCUUGUUAAAAUUGGGAUAUUAAAAAUACAUCAGUGCAAAAACAAAUAAAUACUGAUUCGCAAAUUAUUACUAUUGAUACCCAUUUUGAAAAUAAUGUAAUAAUG